GACGGAGGAUGCAAGUGUUAUCCGGAAUCACUGGGCGUAAAGCGUCUGUAGGUGGCUUAAUAAGUCAACUGUUAAAUCUUGAGGCUCAACCUCAAAAUCGCAGUCGAAACUAUUAGGCUAGAGUAUAGUAGGGGUAAAGGGAAUUUCCAGUGGAGCGGUGAAAUGCGUAGAGAUUGGAAAGAACACCGAUGGCGAAGGCACUUUACUGGGCUAUUACUAACACUCAGAGACGAAAGCUAGGGUAGCAAAUGGG
rnacentral:rRNA from 1 species